UAAUUCUGAUCGUAAAAAUAU
ensembl:piRNA 21ur-13604 ncRNA